UCCUGAAGCACCUGCUUCCCAAAUCAGCCCCCAGCAGCAGCUGGUCCUGGAGGCCCCCCGACACAGUUCCAUCCAGUCUCCAUCUCAGUGUUCCGCCAACCUGCAGUGGAUGGAUGGUGGCCUGGUGGCCGACCUAAACUCAUUAAUUUCCAGGUGGAGAAAAUGGAGGAGGGGCAGGACACAGCAGCAGAGGGAGGGAAAGGAGGCCAAGAGCUGGCCUUCCCCCUACCCCCAGGAAGCAGGCUGUAGCCCUCCCCCCUGCUGCCAUGCCAGAGGCCUGCCUUUGCAAGGCCAAGCCCAUAAAGGAUGUUUAGGAGUUUAAUCUGAUUCCUAACACAGUAAUCAGGGUCUAAAAGAGCAUCCGUUGAAGUUAAUGGAGGACUCUUGUCUCAAAGCCUCAGCCUCAUCUUGUCUAGUAUAUUAGUAUCUGAAGGUAUCAUGGAUCAGUACCUCUCUGGCCUACUUUCCUCAAGAAUAUUCAUUAUUUCUUGAGUAUCUACUAUGUGUCCUACUUUGCGAUUAUUUCAACUUCUAAAUUUCCUCACAGAGGAGAGUGUUAGAGCCAGCCAGGCUGAGGUUAAACUCACCACAUUGCACCUAGGCAGUCCUAGAUCCUUCUCUGCUCUGCAAAAAUGAGCCACCACUGCCUGCUCACUCUUGCAGGCAGAAAGCUGCAGUGCACACAUCCUGAGGGCUUCUCUGGCUGAGUCCUACAAGGCAAACAGGACUGCUUCAAGGUGGAAAAGGAAAGACUCAGCAAUGGCUGUCCUAAGAGAUGUCAUAGUCAUUACCUUCAAAAUCUACCUCCCUUGAAAUAAGAAUUGGCCCCAUCCUGGAAUGCUCCCCUACCUUAUGAAUAGUUUAGAAGAGGGCAGCUAGUGUGCUGUACCAUUUGGGGGUACGCCCAUUUGCCGCAACACCCCCCUCUUCAUGCUCGUUGAGAUGUUAUUUUGCCUUCAAGCAAUGGCCUAAGCUGCUGAUGGCUCAACACCCCCUGGACCACAAAUGUCCCCAUUAGCAAUCCUCUGCUCAGUAAUUGCUUCCCCGUGAUUCCUUCAAAUGUCCCCUCGUCCUUCACCAAUAUUUCAUCUUACAUAACCUCCAGAUGCUUCCCCCAAGUAAGGUCCUUUUAGGUAGAAACCCAAUAUGCUUUUUCUUUGAGAACUCCAACCGCAGGCCCCGUCCAUAAGGCCUGCCUGGGAUCUGCUACAGAGGAUCCGUGUUGGGAGGGGUGCAUUGUUAUUUUAUUGCUUACGUAAACUCUUGGUCCAGAAAGCAUUAUUAGUGUGUGGGAGUGCUCUGGGCUGGCCAGUCUGUGUGAACCAGUGUGAGUAUGUGUCUACCAGAUCCCCUUCACAGAAGGGGUUUAUGUGUAGGUCUCUAAUGACCUGCUCAGCCCCAGGUAUAAUUGCAAGCCCCCUUUCGCUUCCACCAAAUGAAGAGGCGAGGUCAGCCUGAGCCACCUCCUUCCUCUACCCUUGUCGCCCUUCUCUGCCCAUCAGUAAUUAUGCAGAGAACUCGAAGCUUUCGACUCUCCCAAGGCACCUCUAGAAUUCUCAACAUCAUCUCCCCUGCCUGUCUGAACCUUCUAAUUACAUCUUCUGGCUAAAAUGAAAGGAGAAACGUAUGAUCUAACAGUAGGAUGAGGUUGCCAUCGCUUGAUGACUGAAUGUGUUUUCUUUUCCCCUUGGAUUUGUUCACAACCACUACUGCCUUAGUCCCUAUGGGGUACAAUCUCUUGUGUUCCUUAAGGAACCCAGCGCUGGGACUAGAUUUAGUAAUGUAUCAAAGAACUAAUUACAAUUGCUAUGUUUCUCUCCCCUGCCAGAGACAGCCCAGAUCUGUCUCAGUGAGAAAGAAUCCAUUCUUUAACAGAGACAGUGCGAGGGGGGGGAAAUCUAUGAAUGUCUUCUGUUGGGGGAGGGUGCAUUAAAAACUUUCAUCAGAUAACUAAUAUGU
rnacentral:lncRNA from 1 species